UUGCAUGUCCUCCAAUCAGCCUUGCAAUCAGCCAUUCAUCCACUCACCCAAGACAAGUGGCAAUUCAAAAGCAGCUAACGUUUCUUAAGUGCCUACUGUGUGCCAAGUGUGUGAUUCCAGCUAAGGCACACAAAAGCUCAGUGAGACUUUUUAACAGAAUUUCUUCUAAGAAGGUUUGCUGGCCAGGCUGGAAGCAGCAACUAGAAUGAAAUCCACAAGGUCAGGGAGAAGCAGAGCAGGUGACGCUGUAUCUAUCUGACUCUAGGGAUACAGUAACAAAGGAGAUGGUGCAGAGAGGCACCAAGUCAAGGGCAGAUGAGGCUUGGGAGGCUCUCCCUUCCCCCAUCAGACUGUUAACAUGGAAUACAAAGCUCAAGUCUUUAUUACCGAAAAAAGAAAAAGUAGCAGCAGGAGAAGAGCGGGAGGCGGUAAGAGGGGAGAGAAGAGGGAGCCACAUGCUGAAAUCAAUACUGCCCAGGACAAGCAUUAUCCCAUGUGGAACACCUCAAGCCUCUGCCUAGAAAAUUUGAUUGGAUCUUCAGAAAAACCUAUUAGUGUGUUGUCAGGACCUUCUGGUGAUAACUGACCAGCCCUUGCCAAUCGAUGCUCUUCACUUGUGGAGCUCCUGAUUUUUUAACAGCAUAAUUGUUUUUUUAAUAACGGGCUGGCUCACCCACUCCAGCAAGCAGGGAGUCAAAGUCAGACUCCUAACUUAAAAUAUAGAGAAACGCGAUGCUCCAGCCACUUCUUCCUAAUUGCACAAUUACUUUAUGGAGCACCAGGGAUGGAAGGCUGCAGUGGGGGUGCGUUUUUUUUUUUUUUUUUUCAGCCAAGCGAGGUUGUUACGUCACAGAAGUAAUUACACAUGUCAAAAUUAUUUACUAAAUGAAAGCCAUUCUUCACCAAGGAGUCUUUAUUUAUUUUUUAUAAAGAAAAAGGGCAAAAAGAAGAUGAUCCCAGGACGGCGACGACAUCAUAAAGCAACAAUGGAAUUAGUCGUCAAUUAUUACAGCUUUUUAAUUUUCAACUCAAGAGGGAGCAACGCAUAUUUUCCUUAGGGUUUUAAGUGCUCUACAACAACAGCAGUAUUUUUGCUCUUUACCGUGCCUAGGAUCUGAGAUGUCAAAGUACUUUACAAAUAACUUUGGGAUUGAGGCUCUGUACAGCUGGAGAGCAGGGCCCAGGGAGGAAGCGAUUUGCCCAAGGUCAUGGCUGAAUCAGAGGCACAGCUGGAAACACUACUCAUGAAUACUGGCUCCUGGAGUCAGAGCUCAUCACCACCAGCCUGCCCACCUCCCACACACACCAAAACAAAACCCCUAAGCCAGAAAACAGCAGCGGGCAGAGAAGUCGCCUGCUCUUCACAGCCCAGGGUGUUCACACUGACAAUUUGCUGUACAGAUUGGAAGCUGGGUGUACAGGUCAGAGAUCUCUACAGAUUGCCGUUGCUGGACCCAGGAGAAUCAGUCACUAAGGAAAGCUAAAAGUUCACUCUGCAUAGUUGGGUAGCUCAGCUUUCCAUCCUGAGCCCCCAGGUGUAUAUGUCAGAUUCUGGUCUUCCGGGAGGGGUUGACGGCUCAUGCGACAGUUCACUCUGCCCACCUGGCAGGUCUGGUUCUUUUCUGGGUUGGCUCCCUCCAGAACUUGCUCUACAUGCCCAGAGCUGGAGUCCAAGAUUCAGAGAAGAGAGAGCGAGAAAGAGAGGGAGAGAAAGAGGAAAAGAAAAGAAAAGAAGGAAGACAGAGGAGAGACUGUUUGGAAGCCUGUGCAGUCCCUAGAACCUCUUUUUAUGAAGACUCCAUUCCACACUGUGUUACAUAUAUUAGGAUCCCACAUUGAGUACAGUUUCUGAUUAUUUACCAGUUCAGUUAGGCUGAAGUUUGCUGGUGACAUUAUUAUGGUUUUGUAGAUAUUUAAUUAAACAAUUAAUACAUUUGA